rnacentral:lncRNA from 1 species
AGGGUUACGUGUUUAUAUAUGGUGAAACACACCAAGAGAUUUACAUCGGUACAGUUGUAAUCGUCUAGGACUCAUUUGCUUCAUAUACUUGAAUUACAACCGGACACAAGUAUCUCUAAGCAAACUCAAACCGAAACCUAAGAUCACAACCGAACCACAUUGAGUACAAACGUAUCUUUUAACAAUAGAGAGCCUAAGAAAUUAGAGUAUACAACCAAAACAUAAACCACCUUAUAUGAUCAAUUUGCAAGCCAGCACCUUAAUGAUCCGAGUAGGGAUGGACCAAUCCCGUCGGGUCUGGCGGGGACAGGGACGGUGGGAAAUUCCUCAUUGAUACCCUGACUAUGCAUGGACACACAAUC